AUUGAACGCUGGCGGCAUGCCUUACACAUGCAAGUCGAACGGUAACCGGUCUUCGGAUGCUGACGAGUGGCGAACGGGUGAGUAAUACAUCGGAACGUGCCUAGUAGUGGGGGAUAACUACUCGAAAGAGUGGCUAAUACCGCAUGAGAUCUACGGAUGAAAGCAGGGGAUCGCAAGACCUUGUGCUACUAGAGCGGCCGAUGGCAGAUUAGGUAGUUGGUGGGAUAAAAGCUUACCAAGCCGACGAUCUGUAGCUGGUCUGAGAGGACGAUCAGCCACACUGGGACUGAGACACGGACCAGACUCCUACGGGAGGCAGCAGUGGGGAAUUUUGGACAAUGGGCGCAAGCCUGAUCCAGCAAUGCCGCGUGCAGGAUGAAGGCCUUCGGGUUGUAAACUGCUUUUGUACGGAACGAAAAGCCCCGGGUUAAUACCCUGGGGUCAUGACGGUACCGUAAGAAUAAGCACCGGCUAACUACGUGCCAGCCGCCGCAGUAA
rnacentral:rRNA from 1 species